GAAUUGACGGGGGCCCGCACAAGCGGUGGAGCAUGUGGUUUAAUUCGAUGCAACGCGAAGAACCUUACCUACUCUUGACAUCCAGAGAACUUAGCAGAGAUGCUUUGGUGCCUUCGGGAACUCUGAGACAGGUGCUGCAUGGCUGUCGUCAGCUCGUGUUGUGAAAUGUUGGGUUAAGUCCCGCAACGAGCGCAACCCUUAUCCUUUGUUGCCAGCGGUUCGGUCCGGGAACUCAAAGGAGACUGCCAGUGAUAAACUGGAGGAAGGUGGGGAUGACGUCAAGUCAUCAUGGCCCUUACGAGUAGGGCUACACACGUGCUACAAUGGCGCAUACAAAGAGAAGCGACCUCGCGAGAGCAAGCGGACCUCAUAAAGUGCGUCGUAGUCCGGAUUGGAGUCUGCAACUCGACUCCAUGAAGUCGGAAUCGCUAGUAAUCGUGGAUCAGAAUGCCACGGUGAAUACGUUCCCGGGCCUUGUACACACCGCCCGUCACACCAUGGGAGUGGGUUGCAAAAGAAGUAGGUAGCUUAACCUUCGGGAGGGCGCUUACCACUUUGUGAUUCAUGACUGGGGUGAAGUCGUAACAAGGUAACCGUAGGGGAACCUGCGGUUGGAUCACCUCCUUUAUG
rnacentral:rRNA from 1 species